UUUCAAGCUUCAGAAGGAAGAUGCAUGCUGUCCCCUGCCUCUCUUGAUGCUCUGUCACAUAAUCCUUUGUGCUCUUCUUGUGUGAUGGGACCAGAGUUGAGCCAUUAAAACCUCUGCUUCCAUCAGCCAGUACUCCACCUAUCAUUCGUCUGCUCGUUUCUUGUUGACGGGUUAGGAUUCUCAGAGUGCGAUUUGGCUUCUUCUUUAUAUUGCACGUCUGGAGUGGACUUCACCGGUAGUGAUGGCUGGACCAGGACUUGCCGACCCUGCUUCACCUGUCUUCCUCUCAGAUUCGCCUUAGGGACAAGUUCACGGUCCCUCUAACUGUUCUCCGGUUGAAUUCUCAAAUGGCUCGUCUGAUUUUGAUGCAGGUCCCGUCUUCAAUAUAUACGCAUUGGUUUCCUGCAAUCUAAGUGUUGUCUAUGAAAUUGUAAUGUUAGCUAAGCUUCAAUCACUUCCUUAUGGUUGUGCUUGAACCUUCAUUUUCUUAUUGAGCUUUUUAGCUUUUUUGGUGGCCCUACAAGGCACCAUUGCUUUGUCUAUUGACCUAGCGACCUAGAAACAUUAGGAUUAGAUUCGUCAAAGGAAAAUGUAUCUUCCUGCUUCAUCAUUCAUUAAUGAAAUUCACAUACUUACCAAAUGAAAGCUUUCAUUAUGAGGGCUCAAGAAUUUAAUAGUAUGGGUUCGCCCGAUUAUGUAAUUUUGAAUUGAGAAAAUUUCAUAAUAUUCCAACUAAAUUUCGUUAAGCUUUUUAAUAUGCAAACCUUUUUGCUAUCCAGUUUAAUACAUUAAAUAAUU
rnacentral:lncRNA from 1 species